rnacentral:ncRNA from 1 species
GUAAGCGACAAAAAGCAGAUUGUACCUUCUACCUUUUGCAUAAUGAUUUAGCUAGUCAAACCGGACAAAACGAAUUAAAGCCCAACUUCCCGAAAUUAAGUGAGUUAUUGUAGAACAGUUGUCAGAAUGAACUCGUCUGUGUAGCAAAACAGUGAGAUGAUUUUACAAUAGGGGUGAAAAGCCUAUCGAACUUAAUGAUAGCUGGUUGUCCAAAAAACGAAUUUAAGUUCAACUUUAAAUUUAAUUAAAGUACUAACAAACACUAUUUAAAUUUAAAUGUUACUCAAAAGAGGAACAACUCUUUUGAUACGUAGAUAAAACUUUCCUAGAGGAUAAUGAAACACACACAAAACAUUGUAGACCUAAGAGCAGCCAUCAAUUAAGAAAGCGUUAAAGCUCAAACUAACCUAACAUUUAAUACCAACAAUUAAUCAAAAUCCCUAAACCCUAUAUUGGACAAUUCAAUAACUAUUUAGAAGAUAUAAUGCUAAUAUGAGUAACCUGAACAUAUUCUCCUUGCACAAGCAUAAAUACAGAUCGGAACAACCGCUUACACUUAACCAAACAAAUAACUAUAACCACAUACUAGUACCCUACUACACACAUUGUUAACCCAACCCAGGCGUGCAUAUAAAGGAAAGAUUAAAAGGAAUAAAAGGAACUCGGCAAACAUGAGCCCUGCCUGUUUACCAAAAACAUCACCUCUAGCAUUUACCAGUAUUAGAGGCACUGCCUGCCCGGUGAGUUAUGACUUUAACGGCCACGGCAUCCUGACCGUGCAAAGGUAUCAUAAUCACUUGUCUCUUAAUUGGGGACUAGUAUGAAUGGCCUCCACUUCUCAGAAUCUUGUACUUC